rnacentral:rRNA from 1 species
GUUGUAUGGUUAAGUGACUAAGCGUACAUGGUGGAUGCCUUGGCAGUCAGAGGCGAUGAAGGACGUACUAACCUGCGAUAAGCCGUGAGCAGUCGGUAAGAGACAUUACGACUCACGGAUUUCCGAAUGGGGAAACCCACUYAGCAUAAGCURGGUAUCGCURCGUGAAUACAUAGCGUAGCGAGGCGAACCGGGAGAACUGAAACAUCUAAGUACCCCGAGGAAAAGAAAUCAACCGAGAUUCCCUCAGUAGCGGCGAGCGAACGGGGAUUAGCCCUUAAGCAUCUUGGAAGUUAGUGGAACGGUCCUGGAAAGGCCGGCGAUACAGGGUGAUAGCCCCGUACACGAAAACAACCUUGAUGUGAAAUCGAGUAGGGCGGGACACGUGACAUCCUGUCUGAAUAUGGGGGGACCAUCCUCCAAGGCUAAAUACUCCUGACUGACCGAUAGUGAACCAGUACCGUGAGGGAAAGGCGAAAAGAACCCCUGUGAGGGGAGUGAAAUAGAACCUGAAACCGUGUACGUACAAGCAGUGGGAGCCCUUCGGGGUGACUGCGUACCUUUUGUAUAAUGGGUCAGCGACUUACAUUUUGUAGCGAGGUUAACCGUAUAGGGGAGCCGUAGGGAAACCGAGUCUUAACUGGGCGUCUAGUUGCAAGGUGUAGACCCGAAACCGGGUGAUCUAGCCAUGGGCAGGUUGAAGGUUGAGUAACAUCAACUGGAGGACCGAACCCACUAACGUUGCAAAGUUAGGGGAUGACCUGUGGCUGGGGGUGAAAGGCCAAUCAAACUCGGAGAUAGCUGGUUCUCCCCGAAAGCUAUUUAGGUAGCGCCUCGGACGAAUACUACUGGGGGUAGAGCACUGUUUGGGCUAGGGGGUCAUCCCGACUUACCAACCCCAUGCAAACUCCGAAUACCAGUAAGUAAUAUCCGGGAGACACACGGCGGGUGCUAACGUCCGUCGUGAAGAGGGAAACAACCCAGACCGCCGGCUAAGGUCCCAAAGUUCUGGUUAAGUGGGAAACGAUGUGGGAAGGCUCAGACAGCUAGGAUGUUGGCUUAGAAGCAGCCAUCAUUUAAAGAAAGCGUAAUAGCUCACUAGUCGAGUCGGCCUGCGCGGAAGAUGUAACGGGGCUCAAACCAGGCACCGAAGCCGCGGAUUCACGCUAAGCGUGAGUGGUAGGGGAGCGUUCUGUAAGUCUGCGAAGGUGURUCGAGAGGYAUGCUGGAGAUAUCAGAAGUGCGAAUGCUGACGUAAGUAACGAUAAAGGGGGUGAAAAGCCUCCUCGCCGGAAGACCAAGGGUUCCUGUCCAACGUUAAUCGGGGCAGGGUGAGUCGACCCCUAAGGUGAGGCCGAAAGGCGUAAUCGAUGGGAAGCAGGUUAAUAUUCCUGCACGACUUGUAAUUGCGAUGGGGGGACGGAGAAGGCUAGGUGGGCCAGGCGACGGUUGUCCUGGUGAAAGUGCGUAGGUGGUGUUUCYAGGCAAAUCCGGAGACACAACACUGAGACACGAGACGAACRCACUACGGUGYGGAAGCCAUUGAUGCCCUGCUUCCAGGAAAAGCCUCUAAGCUUCAGAUUACAAGUCAUCGUACCCCAAACCGACACAGGUGGUCGGGUAGAGAAUACCAAGGCGCUUGAGAGAACUCGGGUGAAGGAACUAGGCAAAAUAGUACCGUAACUUCGGGAGAAGGUACGCUCUUGUUGGUGAAGUCCCUUGCGGAUGGAGCUGACGGGAGUCGCAGUGACCAGAUGGCUGGGACUGUUUAUCAAAAACACAGCACUCUGCAAACACGAAAGUGGACGUAUAGGGUGUGACACCUGCCCGGUGCCGGAAGGUUAAUUGAUGGGGUUAGCRCAAGCGAAGCUCUUGAUCGAAGCCCCGGUAAACGGCGGCCGUAACUAUAACGGUCCUAAGGUAGCGAAAUUCCUUGUCGGGUAAGUUCCGACCUGCACGAAUGGUGUAACCAUGGCCAUGCUGUCUCCACCCGAGACUCAGUGAAAUCGAAUUCGCCGUGAAGAUGCGGUGUACCCGCGGCUAGACGGAAAGACCCCGUGAACCUUUACUACAGCUUGGCACUGAACAUUGAACCUACAUGUGUAGGAUAGGUGGGAGGCUUUGAAGGCGUGACGCCAGUUGCGCUGGAGCCGUCCUUGAAAUACCACCCUUGUAUGUUUGAUGUUCUAACGCAGGGCCCUGAAUCGGGCUCGCGGACAGUGCCUGGUGGGUAGUUUGACUGGGGCGGUCUCCUCCCAAAGAGUAACGGAGGAGCACGAAGGUUGGCUAAUCCUGGUCGGACAUCAGGAGGUUAGUGCAAUGGCAUAAGCCAGCUUAACUGCGAGACGGACAGGUCGAGCAGGUACGAAAGUAGGUCAUAGUGAUCCGGUGGUUCUGAAUGGAAGGGCCAUCGCUCAACGGAUAAAAGGUACUCCGGGGAUAACAGGCUGAUACCGCCCAAGAGUUCAUAUCGACGGCGGUGUUUGGCACCUCGAUGUCGGCUCAUCACAUCCUGGGGCUGAAGUCGGUCCCAAGGGUAUGGCUGUUCGCCAUUUAAAGUGGUACGCGAGCUGGGUUCAGAACGUCGUGAGACAGUUCGGUCCCUAUCUGCCGUGGGCGUUGGAUGAUUGAAGGGAGUUGCUCCUAGUACGAGAGGACCGGAGUGAACGAACCUCUGGUGUUCGGGUUGUCACGCCAGUGGCACUGCCCGGUAGCUAAGUUCGGAAUCGAUAACCGCUGAAAGCAUCUAAGCGGGAAGCGAGCCCUGAGAUGAGUCAUCCCUGACCCCUUGAGGGUCCUAAAGGGCCGUUGGAGACCACAACGUUGAUAGGUCGGGUUGUCACGCCAGUGGCACUGCCCGGUAGCUAAGUUCGGAAUCGAUAACCGCUGAAAGCAUCUAAGCGGGAAGCGAGCCCUGAGAUGAGUCAUCCCUGACCCCUUGAGGGUCCUAAAGGGCCGUUGGAGACCACAACGUUGAUAGGUGGGGUGUGUAAGCGCGGCGACGUGUUGAGCUAACCCAUACUAAUUACCCGUGAGGCUUAACCAUACAACACCCAAGAAGUGUUC